rfam:Gossypium hirsutum cultivar TM-1 chromosome 14, whole genome shotgun sequence
AAACCAUGAUGUGGGCAUAUUUUAACCAACGUUUUAAACCAUUUCCAAGCUUUAUGAAAACUUUCUCCUUCUAUUUUUUUAAAUAUGGAAAUCUCCCUCCUGAGUUG